AUUGAACGCUGGCGGCAUGCCUAACACAUGCAAGUCGCACGCGAAAGGGGGCAACCCCGAGUAGAGUGGCGGACGGGUGCGUAAUACGUAGGAAUCUACCUGAUAGUGGGGGACAACCCGGCGAAAGCCGGGCUAAUACCGCAUACGACCUAUGGGUGAAAGCCGGGGACCGCAAGGCCUGGCGCUAUUAGAUGAGCCUGCGUCGGAUUAGCUAGUUGGUGAGGUAAAGGCUACCAAGGCGACGAUCCGUAGCUGGUCUGAGAGGACGACCAGCCACACUGGAACUGAGACACGGUCCAGACUCCUACGGGAGGCAGCAGGUGGGGAAUUGUUCGCAAUGGGCGCAAGCCCUGACGACGCAACGCCGCGUGGAGGAUGAAGAUCUUCGGGUCGUAAACUCCUGUCGAGCGGGACGAAUGGCCCCGCGGGUCAAUAACCUGCGGGAGUGACGGUACCGCGAGAGGAAGCCCCGGCUAA
rnacentral:rRNA from 1 species